CCUACCAACCCCUACCAAACUCCGAAUACCUGUCUGACGGACCUCGGGAGGCAGUCGCUGAGCGAUAAUGUCCAGCGGCGAGAGGGAAAGAACCCAGAACCACAGCUAAGGCCCCGAAGUGGCCGCUGAGUAUAGCGAAGGAUGUCGUCGUGCAGAGACAACUGGGAGGUUGGCUUAGAAGCAGCCAUCCUCUAAAG
rnacentral:rRNA from 1 species